GACGAACGCUGGCGGCGUGCCUAAUACAUGCAAGUCGAACGCAGUGGUGACGGGUGAGUAACCCGUGGGUAACCUCCCAUCAGAGGGGAUACCACUUGGCCACAGGUGCUAAACCGAUACUGAUGGAUGGUCCCGGGGUGCAUUACCUAGUUGGUGAGGUAACGGCUCACCAAGGCCAAGAUGCAUAGCGGACCUGGGAGGGUGAUCGGCCACACUGGGACUGAGACACGGCCCAGACUCCUACGGGAGGCAGCAGUGGGGAAUUUUGGGCAAUGGACGAAAGUCUGACCGAGCAAUGCCGCGUGAGUGAAGAAGGUUUUCGGAUCGUAAAACUCUGUUGGUAGAGAAGCGGUAUCUAACCAGAAAGCAACGGCUAACUACGUGCCAGCAGCCGCGGUAAUUC
rnacentral:rRNA from 1 species